rnacentral:rRNA from 1 species
AACGAACGCUGGCGGCAUGCCUAACACAUGCAAGUCGAACGAGACCUUCGGGUCUAGUGGCGCACGGGUGCGUAACGCGUGGGAACCUGCCCUUAGGUUCGGAAUAACUCCCCGAAAGGGGUGCUAAUACCGGAUAAUGUCUUCGGACCAAAGAUUUAUCGCCUUUGGAUGGGCCCGCGUUGGAUUAGCUAGUUGGUAGGGUAAAAGCCUACCAAGGCGACGAUCCAUAGCUGGUCUGAGAGGAUGAUCAGCCACACUGGGACUGAGACACGGCCCAGACUCCUACGGGAGGCAGCAGUGGGGAAGAUUGGACAAUGGGCGAAAGCCUGAUCCAGCAAUGCCGCGGGAGUGAUGAAGGCCUUAGGGUUGUAAAGCUCUUUUACCCGGGAUGAUAAGGACAGUACCGGGAGAAUAAGCUCCGGCUAACUCCGU